rnacentral:lncRNA from 1 species
GUAGAUAAUAAAGUGCUCAACACUAGUAUUAUAGUAGAGCAAGAUAUAUUUAUAUCUUAAAAUUAAUUAUUGCUACUCAAGUUUCACGCCUGGUGGAAAGCGAUGUGGCCUCUGCUUGGAAGAGAAAUUAUGUAUCCUGAAAGCGAAAGGAAACAAUUCACUGAACACGCGAUCAGAGUUUUAUACAAAGUGCUGUCACAAGGAAAAAUUUAGCGCGUGCAAAUUC